GAAACUCGGGAAAUGUUUGGUCAGCUUUGCCCAGCCCCACAAGUCCGUUCACAGAUCCGAUCAUGGCUGGCGCUCCAUCCGUGGCUAUUGCCGUUAGCUUCGGUAUGGGCAGAUUUGCUUUCGCAAAUGCAGCCAUCAUUAUUUCUUUCACAUCUAUGCCACGGGUUCUGUCUUUAAAUGGCACAACAUCAAAGAGUUCUUCUUUGAUCACAUAAUCUUUUGACACUGAUUGUGCAAAUAUUGCGAGCUGAGGCUUGUCAUAUGUCACAACUCUCAUCCAAUGCGACACUAAAAUACUCACAUGCUUGAA